rnacentral:lncRNA from 1 species
ACGGGAUCACGGCGAAAAGGGGGCCUCGUGCGCACGUAGGUGGACGGGUCGGUGAGUGGAGUGGAUUCUGGGAUCACUGGGCCACUGGGGGUACGUGAAAGGACGGAUGAGAAGCGAUUCCACGUCUCCCGACAAAGCUAGCGGAGGAGAAAAUGAGAUGGACAGCGGGACCAGAUGGGGAUGAGCAUCUCUGUGUCACUGUCAUCUGGGCCGGCCGGCAAGAGAUCAUGCCAUGCCAAUAUGCUUGGUGCAGGGGGAAGAAUAUAGGAAGGUCGAAGUGAAGUGAUGCCAAAGAAACAUGACUGUAUGUGAAGAGAAAAGGGCACAGAUUUGACGAAAAGAUCAUCAAUCUGACUUACUCAUCCGUCAGCAGUAGAAAUAAUAGAAACACGAUCCCAGAAAUAAUCAGAUGAAUGAAACAAGAGGCCUACCCCAUGUCAGCAGUAGAAAUAAUAGAAACAUGAUGACAGGUCAAAAUAAACCUGCGUGUGUUAGGCCUCGCCUUCAAUGGAACGGUGACCUAAACUGUGUCAAAUGUAUGGAAAGAACACAAAUCCAAGAAUCUUGCAAAAUACAGUACCAUAGAACAACAAAGAGCAAAAUAAGACAC